UGUGACUCCUACGGGAGGCAGCAGUGGGAAUAUGCACAAUGGGGAAACCCUGAUGCAGCCAUUGCCGCGUGUGUGAAGAAGGCCUUCGGGUUGUAAAGCACUUCAGUAGGGAGGAAGGUAGUGUAGUUAACACCUGCACUAUUUGACGUUACCUACAGAAGAAGCACCGGCUAACUCCGUGCCAGCAGCCGCGGUAAUACGGAGGGUGCGAGCGUUAAUCGGAAUUACUGGGCGUAAAAGCGCAUGCAGGCGGCCUGUUAAGUCAGAUGUGAAAAAGCCCCGGGCUUAAAACCUCGGAAAUUGCAUUUGAAAAACUGGCAGGCUAGAGUCUUGUAGAGGGGUAGAAUUUCAGGUGUAGCGGUGAAAAUGCGUAGAGAUCUGAAGGAAUACCAGUGGCGAAGGCGGCCCCUGGACAAAGACUGACGCUCAGAUGCGAAAGCGUGGGGAGCAAACAGGAUUAGAUACCCUGGUAG
rnacentral:rRNA from 1 species